GACGAACGCUGGCGGCGUGCCUAACACAUGCAAGUCGAGCGGGAAUUUACAAAUUGAUUCCUUCGGGAUGAUUUUUGUAAAGGAUAGCGGCGGACGGGUGAGUAACGCGUGAGUAACCUGCCCUUAAGAGGGGGAUAACACACCGAAAGGUGUGCUAAUACCGCAUAAUAUGUAUUUGCCGCAUGGCAGAUAUAUCAAAGAUUUAUCGCUUAAGGAUGGACUCGCGUCUGAUUAGAUAGUUGGUGAGGUAACGGCUCACCAAGUCGACGAUCAGUAGCCGACCUGAGAGGGUGACCGGCCACAUUGGGACUGAGACACGGCCCAGACUCCUACGGGAGGCAGCAGUGGGGAAUAUUGGGCAAUGGGCGAAGCCUGACCCAGCAACGCCGCGUGAAGG
rnacentral:rRNA from 1 species